rnacentral:rRNA from 1 species
GGGUAGUAAAUUCAACCUAAAGAAUUUGGCGGUUCUUAAACUUACUAGAGGAACCUGUCCUGUAAUCGAUAGUCCACGAUCUUAUUCACCUAUUUUAGUUAACAGCUUAUAUACCGCCGUUUAGUGAACUAAAUUAAUAGAUUCUCUUAACUAAUUAGUUAAAUAAAUCAGGUCAAGGUGUAGUUUAUGAAUAGGAAGAGAUGGGUUACAAUGAUAUAUCAUACGAAUAUUUUGCCUUAGGGUGAAAUUGAAGGUGGAUUUAGAAGUAAAAUUUUAAUAUUUUGAAGAGAGCUCUUGAGAAUGUACANUG